CGCGCGCUGUGCAGGCUGGGGGAACAUGGCCGCUUCCGGUCUUGCACUCUGCCUGGCGCGGGGCUGACAGCGGCUGCGGUUCCGUGCGCUCCUCCUUCUGCAUCUCGCGCCGGCGGCGGCGGAGGGCGCAGCGGCCUCCCGUUCUCGCGCCAUGGAGAAGAGCUCGAGCUGCGAGAGUCUCGGCGCACAGCCCCCGGCAGCACGGCUGCCCAGCGAGGACUCACUGUCCAGUGCUUCCACUUCUCAUUCAGAGAACUCGGUGCAUACCAAGUCAGUUUCUGCCGUGUCUUCAGACUCCAUUUCUACUUCUGCAGACAACUUUUCUCCUGAUUUGAGGGUCCUGAGGGAGUCAAACAAAUUAGCAGAAAUGGAGGAACCAGCCCUGCUUCCGGGAGAAAACAUUAAAGACAUGGCCAAAGAUGUGACUUACAUAUGUCCUUUCACUGGUACUGUACGAGGAACACUGACUGUCACAAAUUACAGAUUGUAUUUCAAGAGCAUGGAACGGGACCCCCCAUUUGUUCUAGAUGCUUCUCUUGGAGUAAUAAGUAGAGUAGAGAAAAUUGGUGGUGCAUCUAGUCGAGGUGAAAACUCUUAUGGCCUGGAGACUGUAUGCAAGGAUAUCAGGAAUUUACGAUUUGCUCAUAAACCAGAGGGGCGAACCAGAAGAUCCAUAUUUGAGAAUCUAAUGAAAUAUGCAUUUCCGGUGUCUAACGGCUUGCCUCUUUUUGCUUUUGAGUAUAAAGAAGUAUUCCCUGAAAAUGGGUGGAAACUGUAUGACCCCCUUCUAGAGUAUAGAAGGCAGGGAAUUCCAAAUGAAAGCUGGAGAAUAACAAAGAUAAAUGAGCGCUAUGAACUUUGUGACACAUAUCCUGCCCUCUUGGUUGUGCCAGCAAACAUUCCUGAUGAGGAGCUAAAGAAAGUGGCAUCCUUCAGGUCACGGGGCCGGAUCCCAGUUUUGUCAUGGAUUCAUCCUGAAAGCCAAGCUACAGUCACUCGUUGCAGCCAGCCCAUGGUUGGAGUGAGUGGGAAGCGCAGCAAAGAGGAUGAGAAAUAUCUUCAGGCCAUCAUGGAUUCCAACGCCCAAUCUCACAAAAUAUUUAUAUUUGAUGCUCGGCCAAGUGUCAACGCUGUCGCCAAUAAGGCAAAGGGGGGAGGUUAUGAAAGUGAAGAUGCCUAUCAAAAUGCAGAACUUGUUUUUCUGGAUAUUCAUAAUAUCCAUGUUAUGAGAGAAUCAUUGCGGAAGCUGAAGGAGAUUGUGUACCCCAACAUUGAGGAAACUCACUGGUUGUCUAACUUGGAAUCUACACACUGGCUGGAACAUAUUAAGCUCAUUCUUGCAGGGGCUCUGAGGAUUGCUGACAAGGUAGAGUCGGGGAAGACCUCUGUGGUGGUGCAUUGCAGUGAUGGCUGGGAUCGCACAGCUCAGCUCACUUCCCUGGCCAUGCUCAUGUUGGAUGGAUACUAUCGAACCAUCCGAGGAUUUGAAGUUCUCGUGGAGAAAGAGUGGCUAAGCUUUGGACAUCGAUUCCAACUAAGAGUUGGCCAUGGAGAUAAGAACCAUGCUGAUGCAGAUAGAUCACCUGUUUUUCUUCAAUUUAUUGACUGUGUCUGGCAAAUGACAAGACAGUUCCCUACUGCAUUUGAAUUCAACGAGUAUUUUCUCAUUACCAUCCUGGACCACUUGUACAGCUGUUUAUUUGGGACAUUCCUCUGUAACAGUGAACAGCAGAGGGGAAAAGAGAAUCUUCCUAAGAGGACGGUGUCACUGUGGUCCUACAUAAACAGCCAGCUGGAAGACUUCACUAAUCCUCUCUAUGGGAGCUACUCCAAUCAUGUCCUUUACCCAGUAGCCAGCAUGCGCCACCUAGAGCUCUGGGUGGGAUAUUAUAUAAGGUGGAACCCCCGGAUGAAACCACAGGAACCUAUCCACAGCAGAUACAAAGAACUUCUUGCCAAAAGAGCAGAGCUUCAGAGAAAAGUAGAGGAACUUCAGAGAGAAAUUUCCAACCGCUCAACCUCCUCUUCAGAAAGAGCCAGCUCUCCUGCACAGUGUGUGACUCCUGUCCAAACUGUUGUAUGAAAGGACUAUUAGGUCAGGAACUCUGCAUCGCAGCACCUUAUGGGUAGAAAGCCUUUCAUGUUUUAAAUCCAUCUACAGGAGAUUUAUUUCAAGUCUCCCUUAGAUGAGUUUAGAAACAGCAUUGCAGGUGACAAUGGAGAUCAUUUGUAAUUAAAGUAUGACACUAACCUUAAGUCACCCAAAGAAUACUAAAGUAGUGCAGUCCAGUAUCCACAGUGGGUACAAGUUUUUCAUUUCAAAAUGUCUUAAGAACUGAGUGAGGACCUGGUUAAGUUCUCUAAGUGGGAGAAAAACAAGAGCAGCUGUUUUCACAGAGAGCAUACUUAGAGCCUUGAUGUCUGUCAGGUCAAAAUUGCUCCUUUGUCAAAUUUCCCAAUUUAGUAAAAAGCAUUGCCUUGAGACUAUUACAGCAUAGUAGUAAUUGCUGACAUUGUAACUAGGGUAUUCUCAACAGCAGUUAGGAAAUGAUGCCUUAUAUAUGUGCUUUGAGGGGAUGAAGGGACAAAGUAGUAGCUGUCAUCCAAGAAUUCAAAGAACAUUCUAUGCCUUUCAGAUGAAUUUGCAUUUGUAUGUUGAUCAUAAACAUCACAGAAGACAUUUUAAAACCUUAUUAUUCCACUUUAUCUUGAUGAUAAUUGGCAAGUUUUAAAACAGUAUUCUAAGACCUUAAAAGUCUGACUUUAGUGCCAUGUUUAAAUUUCACAUGAACACUACCAAAGAACACUGCAUGUUAAAAGAGUUAGUCUCAGUAUCAGCAAGUAAAGCCUCGCUUCUCUGCUCACCUGAGUAGGGUGCUGGUGUAUAUUUUACUCUGUAUAAGAGCCAUAUGUAAUGUACUGUAACAAAGGAACUUCAUACCACUUGGUCUUUUAAUUAAAUGACUUCAAACUUUGUCCUUGUCUAGUUGUCUAAAGUAUCCUCCCUAACUCCCAAAAUGUUAACCUAGAAAUGUUCAAUUUGACCCCAUCAGUCUUUUUGACACCUAAAUCAAACUAAAUAUUGUUCUUUAAUUUAUUAUAUCCUGUUGCUGAUGUUAGAAUUAGUACAUCACAUACAUAUGCACACAGAGCUCUUCUUCUCUUUGUUUUUCCUUGGAUAUUUUAAGUGGACAUUGAACCUAGAGUCUUAAACUUACAAGGCAAGUGCUGUACUACUGAACUAUAUCCCCAGCAUACCCAGUGUUAACAAAAUUGGUACCAAAUGAUUUGGUUGAUGCAAAAUUAGUUAUUAGAAAAAUUUUAGGAGGUAUUUAUGUUACUAACUAGCAUUCAAGUAAGGUUUCUACGUAGUUCACACUUUCCUCUCUAGUCUGCUUCCUCAUUGAAACUUUUAUCAUUGUGGUAUGACACAAAGGAAUGCUGAUGGGAUCCAGACUUUAAAGGUGAUCAUACACUUACUCAGAAGCCAGAGAAUAUAACUGGAACUCUGUCAAGUCUCCCUUCUAAACCUUCUAAUGUGUUCUAUGACCUCCAAAAUAUCUUCAGUGUAUAAUGUACACACUAAAAGCACUUUAUGUGGAAUUCAGCUGUCUUCUUGGCAUAUAGUACCGAGGUAACAAUUCACAUUUUCCCCCAGCUUGAAAGCACUCCUUUCUUACUCAGCAUGGGAUCCAUGUUGUCAACUUGUACAGAGAAUACAUGGGAACUCUGCUGUGAGUGAGUGAACAAGAAACAAGCAGGAUCAAAACCCAAAGCCCUACACUUUGGAUCCAGCUGGAGAUAGGUCUCUGUUUGGCAAAAUCCUUCUUACUUGUGGUCUUUGUGACUCCAGGUGAACGACUGCUGCUAUUUCCUUCUUCAUCAAGAGUCUUUUUGUUAACUUUUAAUUCCUUCUUCUGCUUAUUUAUGUUUUGUUUCUCCAGCUAUCCAAAUAAUCAAGGCAGAAGAAAAAGUGAAUUCAAUAAAAACAUUUUCUUUUAGCUCA